ACCGCUGCUGCCCGACAUCAAAGGCGGCCAGCCUGGUUUCUCCAUCUGCAGUCUGAACAAUAUUUCUCUUUGAUCUUGGACAAGAAGAACCAGCAUGGGGGAUGCAGGGGAGGAGAGCAGGUACCUGCGUCGAUGUGUAACAACAUGCAGCCCCCUGAUGUUGCCUGGUUGAAAUGCCAAGCGGGGUCAGAAAAACACCAUUGAAACAAGCAGCUGAAAUCUAGAAAAAGAGUCACGAUGGAAUGGUUUCAUUCAGUCACUCCAUCAUCAAGUCUUUUUGGAGAGGCAGCCGAGUGCCCAUUCUUGUGCAUUCUGGAGGGAAAGGGAAGGGAACGGAGCGAGAGGGCCACAUGUGACGGAGUCGGAGACCUGGCUUCAAGUUUGCCUGUGGGAUCUUGACACUUAACUCUCUGCAUCUUAUUUUUCUCUUCUAGUCCUAUCAGGCCCCUAUUUCCUUUUGUUCACCACUAGCCUCCUGUCCUGUGGGGUUUAAAUUUAGUCUUCAGAAUGUGGGCUCUAACUCCUCCCUUUCUCUUGCCCUUAACCAAAACUGCAACCUCCCUGGGGUGGGCAUCCAGUCCCACCUUCAGCCCUCGGGCCCCCAUUCCUACCUCUGAACCCUCAGGCUGGCCCCUCAAUCAGGUCGCCCACCACUCAUGUAGAGUCAGACAAGUACAGAGCAUGGAGCUGGGCACCAUGAGGGCUACACAGAUGAAUCUAACACAGCGGCCCAGCAUCAGGAGGGCACACAGACUGGCAAGGAGGCAGUUUCUCCGGCAGAGGAGGCAUAGAGAAAGGUACGUGAACGGCGGCCGAGGAAGCUUUCCUGGAGGAGGCGACACUUGAGCCAUAUUCUAAAGGAUGAAUAGGGGUUUCCAAUAAGAGACUUGAAUAGUUUAGGUGAAUAAGUAGAUUCAGUAGGUUCAUCCAGCCCUGCCCCCUUGAAGGUUCUCCUCCUGAGCGCCGCACACUCCGCCUGACCCUCCACGGCCACCGUCUACAGAGCUUCCUGGCUGUCUUAGCAACUCCGGGCUCACAGCACAGAUUUCCAGCGGUAGGACAGUUCCCGAGUUGGUUAAUUAGGAGAUUCAGUGGUCCUUUCAAGGCAAGUUCUUUCCAUCCCCAGACGGUUGGCUUGUCUCCUUCAGCUGAGCCCCUCCGAGAUCCAAGAUGGCCACCACAACGCCUGCAACGCCACAACCAGGCAGUCUUGCAUCACGUGUCCUUAAUCAAAACCCUGGAAGCAGAAUGACACGAUGAUGAAGAACAAGUGGCUGGCCAUCUGGACCGGAAUUCAAACUCCAGCACGGCCAUCGCUGCCUGAAAGGCUUCAUUAAAAUCACCCAGGCUUUAAGUCUGGGUUUCUAAACUAAGGUUAAAAGUAGCAUCCUCGGGGCCGGCCCCGUGGUGUAGCGGUUAAGCGCGUACAUUCUGCAUCAGUGGCCCGGAGUUCACUGGUUCGAUCCUAGGUGUGGACAUGGCACCGCUUAUCAAGCCAGGCUGUGGCAAGCAUCCCACAUAUACAGUAGAGGAAGAUGAGCACGGAUGUUAGCUCAGGGCCAAUCUUACUCAGCAAAAAAUGAGGAGGAUUGGCGGUGGAUGUUAGCUGAGGGCUAAUCUUCCUCAAAAAAAAAAAAAGUAGCAUCCUCUUCUUAAGCAUUGUUAGUGCUAAAGAAGGUACUAUAUGGAAGACGCUGAGGCCGCCCUGACACAAAGUAAGUGCUUAAGAAAUGGUCCCUAAACCCGCCUCUCUCCAGCACUUUUUCACUGCCCCUGGGUGAGCAACUACUGAAAUGUCUUGGACGUCCCCUGGAGUCGUGCUUACUAAAGUUUACUGUGUGUUCAGAGACCUCUGCGACCUCAUGAAAAUGGAGAUUCCGAUUCAGCAGGCCUGAGGCGGGGCCUGGGAUUCUGCGUUUCUAUCGCUGCUCCAGCUGAUGCUAAUGCUGUGGCCCUGGGACCACGCUUGGAGCAGCAGGGCUCUGGGUGAAGGCUUGGCAGACUUUUUCGGUAAAGAGCCACGUCAUAUCGAUUUUAGGCUUUGGGAGUCAUACCUACUGUGUUGCAACCACUCAACGCUGCCACUAGGACUUUAUUUACCAAAACAGGCCUGUGUGGCAUUUGGCCCCAGGGCUGGAGUUUGCUGAGCUUCUACCCUAAGCGAUAAGUCGUCUCAGGACACGGUCUACUUUACUGACCUCUUCAUUCUCAUCGCGCAGCCCAGAGCCUGGCACAGAGCAGACGCUCAGUAAGGGUUUGACGUGUGCUGGAGCAAACGCGUAGAGUCUAUCUGGUGUCUAUUCUAGAACUGGAAACUCUAAAGCUCGUAUUUAUUGACGGUUCACUAUGCUCUAGGAAAUGGUCUAAGUGUUUGACGGACAUUAUGUUCUUUAAUGCUCACAGCGCCCAGGAGGGAGGCACUGUUACUAUGCCCAUUUUACAGAUGAGGCACACGGAGGUCAGGCCUGGGUCCAGAGGUCAUGGGAAAGCCAGGCGUGAGGACAGGGCAGGUUUCCGAGCCCGUGCUCUCCACCCUUCAGCAGCCAGCUGCCCUGGAGGACCCGCCCACCGUUUUUCCGCCUGUUAGUCUCUCUAGGGACGUUACAAUUCCUGGAGAGCUGGAAUCGCAUCAGUCGUUUUUUCUUUUCCCUGUCACCCCAAGCUCCCAUAAUGGUGUUGGGCACAUGGUAAGCAGUUACCAAAGUAUUCCUGAUUGAUAUUUUAAAUAACCUACCUAGAACACACACUGCAGAGAAUCUGGGUCACGAGGAAAACGUCUUGGAGAUCUCCGUGUCCUUAGCACACACAUAGCAGAAGUUGAGCCUGAAGGUACCAAUUAUCAUAUCUAAAAAUGCCUAAAAAGGUAUUAAUAAUUUAGCAGUUAAAUUCAUGCAGAGAAAGAUUCCUGACAGCGUACGUCCCUGGAGGGCAGAGGCUCUGUGUCCAGUAGAGACCUGGGCCUUUCAUGGCCUUUACUGUGCACGUGUUGACCAAGAAAAGGAGGGGCAAAGCACCACAGUUAGAAGGGCUGCGGGUGGGGCUCGAACUCGGACUCAGCUGCAGGCUGGUUGUGUGUCCUGGUUACCCUACACCUUAACGUUCACUCCACAAAAUAAUGGCUGUGGACUAGAGCAUCAUUUGAGUCAUUCUGGUUUUAAAAUGCUAUUGCUUUAAAAAAUAAUGAUAUCAUCACAAGGGUUUUGAGGAGUGUUUUCCCAUCAAGAAAAUGACCCCAAACUACUAGGAUUUUAAAACUAAUGUCACUUCUGUGUGGUUGGUGUCCCUGUUUAUGGCAGUAUUGUCCCUUUUCCAUUGCCCUCUUUGGUCCACCCUGACUACCAAUUUCUAAUUUGUUUCAAACUAAGAACCCAGAUAAUCAGAAUUAUUAUAAUUGUUUGUAAAGGAGGU
rnacentral:lncRNA from 1 species